UUCCGAAAUGGCGAAAGUCACUCUGUGGAGCUGCAGACGUUAUUAAACUCCAUCCUUCUUGCUAUCAUUUUGUAGAAGCAUUGUCUACACCCAGCUCCAUCAUCGCCCUUUGGACAACAAAACGCCUGGACCAACAACAGAACGACAAGCACGACAAACCAAGCCUUGUCCUUUAGCUCAGUGCAUUUACAUUGAGCCCGUCCUCCUAUAGCUCCUCCCACCAGCCUCCACUGGUUGAUAAGCAGCUGGAGGAGACUUGGUUCCAAUCCAAACAGCUAGGUAUGAAUACAAAGGGUAAUUUCAAUCUAGAAUUUUUUAACCACCUUUGAGCAAUUUAUUGAGCAUUCUGGUAUAUUAUUUAGACAUAUCAACACAUAUUGCAAUUAUAGCUGUCCAGUUGGGUGGAAUGUACAAAUAUAUACAUCAUUACAUUAAUAUAUGUAUAGGCAUGGUGGACUAAGGACGCCAUUGUAGGCCUACAUUGGACAUGCUCUAGCCCAA